GUCUAGUGUCUUUCACAAGCAUAACAUUUCCAGGGAUGGGAACAAGAAGCAAAGUUAAAGCCAAAAGUGAAUUUGUGAGCUGAUUUUUUUACCACUGUCUUUUAUUACAUACAAACAGACAAUAUUUUCCAAAAUAGUGAUUACAUUCUUCACAAAUUGAGCUUGUAGGUUUAUUAGUAAUUACGAAGGGAAAUGUUGUUUCCUGCUCUCAUCUCAGUUUAGUAAGACAAUAGAAAAUCUUUUUCUAUGAUUCCACUAAGAAUAUGUUUCUAAUAGCAACUGUUUUGCAAAUGGAAAAACUGCUUAGGUAAAUCAAUCAACCACAUGAUGAAUGUUAGAAUCUCUGAUUAAUAGUUUAUGUAUGAAGUAUAGAUUAGUUGGCAGGCAACUAACUGAGAAUGACAAAGAAGGAUUAAGUGAAUGAAAAGCACAGCUCCAUCCUUUACAGUUGUUCAUGCAAUAAACAAUACUGCCCCUCCCACCACAGCAAAUACAGUCUGUUUUGUAACACCCACAGUGACUAUUACUUUAUGGUUUUGACAUAUUUAUUAGCUCAUCGGACAAAGUCUGCAGCAUCAAGAAUUGCAUUGAUAUGAAAUCCUUAUAUAGUGUUUAAACUAGACAUGUAAGACUAUUUUAGACAUAUUGAGCCAACUGGCAUAAAUGAAUCCUGCUCAUUAGUUAAGAACAAAGUUGCCAUGGCUGCACAAAGAAUGUGAACAUUUAUGGCCUAGUCUUUAAUCAGAUGAGUAGUGUUUUAGCUAUGUGAAUAUUCCAGUUGUAAUAGUGGCACAAGUGAAGGAGGGUUUUGUAGUACCAUUUUGGUGAAAAGUUUCAACUUAGUUGUAGCUGGGGGGGGAGGGAAAGUACCUUUUUGAAGUAUUUCCAUAACACAAUUUUAUGUUCAAAGCACUGUACAAACAUUAGUUUAUUAAUCUUUCUUUGUUUCAGGAGGCUCGGUGUCAUUUCAUUCAUCUUACAGGUCGAGAAAAUGAGAUGGGCAAACUGCCUUGCUUCAAGGCCUCAGAGGUUCUGAGAUGUGAUUCUGAAGUGCAAAAAGAUAAAGCAAAUACUUCAGCUGUUCCUCAUCCCAGAGGAUGCCUAUGUAGAGAUCAUUCUUCAGCCGCACCUGCUCCUGUAUAUUUUAAAGCAUUUUCUAGUUUGCUUGAGCCAACCAUCAUGCUGUCUCUUUUUCUACAUAAACCUGUCCAUCUAAAAUCAAAAAGACCAUAAAGCUUGAAGAUAUAUUACACUAUCAAACUAAUGUCUUAUGUGUUCUCUAUCUUCAGAAUUGUAUUCUGUAUCUGCAAAAAGCUGUUAGUGAACUAAUUUAGACUGAUUCUAUAUUUAAAUAUGUAGUUGAAAGAUUAUUUGAUCACCAGUAAAUGUAAUUCUUCUGACCUCAAAACUCUCUCAGAUUCUAGUGUUUUUUAAUUCUUUGAAUAAGACUGUUCUAACACAAUGUAACAUUCAUCUGAGGAACAGCUAUCAACUUUUCUAGGUUAGCUGAUAUAGCUCACAUUAGCAAAGUAAUAUAGAAUCUGUUACUAACAAAAUAAGUGCUUUUUAAAAAUAAAAAAAACAGAUGGAGCA
ensembl:lncRNA